GAUGAACGCUAGCGGGAGGCCUAACACAUGCAAGCCGAGCGGUAUUGCUUCUUCGGAAACGACAGAGCGGCGUACGGGUGCGGAACCCGUGUGCAACCUGCCUUUAUCUGGGGGAUAGCCUUUCGAAAGGAAGAUUAAUUCUCAUAAUAUAUUGCACGGCAUCGUUUAAUAUUGAAAGCUCCGGCGGAUAGAGAGCUGCACGCGCAUGCUUAGCUAGUUGGUGAGGUAACGUCUCACCAAGGCGAUGAUCUUUAGGGAGCCUGAGCGGGGGAUCCCCCACACUGGGACUGAGACCCGGACCAGACUCCUACGAGAGGCAGCAGUGAGGAAUGUUGGUCAAUGGGUGAAAGCUUGAACCAGCCAGCCCGCGUGAAGGACGACUGCCCUAUGGGUUGUAAACUUCUUUUGUAUAGAGAUAUCCCUUUCCACGUGUGGAAAGCUGGAGGUACUAUACGAAUAAGAACCGGCUAACUCCGUGCCAGCAGCCGCCGCAGUAA
rnacentral:rRNA from 1 species